rnacentral:sRNA from 7 species
UGUAUCUGAAGCCUGACGAGGAUGAGAACCUCUGGGGGCAAGAGGUUCGACCCGAGCGAAGCGAGAGAACGUUGCGUCAGCAACGGCCCGCAGGGCGAGCCACGCAGUGGCGAGUCAUCCUCUAUCACCGACCA